rnacentral:rRNA from 1 species
GACGAACGCUGGCGGCGUGCUUAACACAUGCAAGUCGAACGAAGUGGCGAACGGGUGAGUAAUACGGGAGUAACCUGCCCUCCUUUUUGGGAUAAGCCAUGGAAACGGGGUCUAAUACCGAACAAAGGGGGAUGGGCGCGCGGCCUAGCAGCUUGUUGGUGGGGUGAUGGCCUCGCAAGGCGGUGACGGGUAGCCGGCCUGAGAGGGUGACCGGCCACAGUGUGACUGGGAUACGGCCCAGAGGCCUACGGGAGGCGGCAGUGGGGGAUAUUGCACAAUGGGCGAACGCCUGAUGCAGCGGCGUCGCGUGGGGGAUGAAGGCUUUCGAGUUGUAAACCUCUUUCGCUAUCGGACGGUUAGGUGGAGAAGAAGCGCCGGCUAACUACGUGCCAGCAGCCGCGGUAAUUC